GCUGACAUGGCGCAGCUGGUAGCGCAACUGAUUCGUAAUCAGUAGGUCGUGGGUUCGAAUCCCAUUGUCAGCU
rfam:Butyrivibrio crossotus CAG:259 genomic scaffold, scf41